AUGAGCUCAUCCACACUGGGCUAUGCUGGGUCACUUCUACUUCUCCAGCUGGCACAAAUGAUCACUGACCAGAACCAAAUCCAGCCGGCCGCUGGAGGAAGAAGCCCUCCUCUCAGCUUUAUAACAAGAUCAGGUGAUGCUCAUGACUUCAGUAUGUGGACGGGCCAUGAAGCCUUGACUAAGGCCACCUACUAAAGGGUUAGGGUGGUAUGGUGCCACCCCAAAACAGAGUCAAGGUCUCGCUAAGUUGCCCAGGCUGGUGGUGUACUUUUGGCCUUAAGGAAUCCUCCUGCCUCAGCCUCUCGAAGUGUUGGGAUUACAGGCAUGAGCCAAUGGCCUGGCCUGUCUUUCUUAUUCAUGGUACAAUUAACGUGUUUUCAAAAGAAAUUGUGGUG
rnacentral:lncRNA from 1 species